AUGGAGAGCCAGGCACGCCCCCAGGCGCGACUCCCUAUCUCCACACCGGUGUCCGCGCCCCAGGGAAGCGGCGGGGGCCAGCUUCCAUGCGGCAGGGGGCCCCACAGCAGGGUGGGAGCAGGCACCCGCCCGUCAUCACUCAUUGCUGCAAAAAGCAUUUCUAAGACGUCUUCCGUGUUCAGGUACCAUGAUGGGAACAGAUUUCCACACUGCCUGGCGUCCCACUCGGUUGAACAGCUUUCAGAAAAACCCAGUCAAUUCUGCGGACCAAAUGCCAUCCUGAUCCCGAUAACCCCAGAGCCCUUGCAUUUGGGCUGCCGUGUUGUGCCAAUGGACCAACAUGUGAUGUGGCAAGGAACCCACGUCUCUGGCCACAGCCACCCGCAGACAGGCGAGGGAGCUUGGGGGCCGUGUUGGUUUCUCGCAGUUAUGGUAACAAAUUGCCACAAACUCGGUGGCUUAAAACAACAGACACUUACUCUCCUAGUUUUGAAGUCAGAAGCCCAAGGUCAGUUUCCCAGGGGCUGAAGUCACAGUGUUGACAGAGCUGUGCUCCCCUGACUCUGGACAGAGCGCUUCUCUUCACCUUAUCCAGCUUCGAGAGCUGCGUUCCUUGCCUGUCUUGGCUCGGGGCUCCUUCCUCCUUCUCCAAAGCCAGCAUCUUCCCAUCGGCUCCUUCUUGGCGCUGACUUCCCUGUAGCUCCUCUUGCUCCUUCCUCCCUCUCAUGAGGACACCUGGGAUGGCAUCUGGCGCCCACCUGGAUAAUUCGGGGUCCUCUCCCCAUCUCAAGGUGUGUAGCUUCCUCAGACCCGUAGAGACCCUUUCUCCACUUCAAGUAGCUGCCCCCCCCCUCCCCGCGCCUUCUGGGGCAGCUGGGUGGCUCAGUGGGUUGAGCCUCUGACUCUUGAUUUCAGCUCAGGUCAUGAUCUCAGAGUCAUAAGUUCGAGCCCCGUGUCCGGCUCUGCACUCAGCAUGGUGUCUGCUUGAGAUUCUCUCUCUCUCCCUCUGCCCCUCCACCUGCUCAAGGUGUAUAAAGAAACAAAGUAUUUUUAAAAAAAUGAACACAGUAGCUGCUACCUGAGGAAGAAGGGCAAAGCUCGGAGAAGGCAAGGGCCUUCAUUUGGGGCCUCCGAAUUGCGACUCUGGGAGUGCAUAUUCCAGAGUAACCAGAAAAGUGUCUGGCUUGGGUAGGGAAAGCAAGGGGGCUUUAUGAGAAAGAAGAAGGAGGCAGUCACAUGAUUCAGGAAAGGAAGAAAAAAACCCAUGAAUUCAGUGCUGACUGGCUGAGCCUCUUUCGAUCACCAGCUGAAGGAUUCUUUUCUCCCUGUCUUCAAACAAAGGUAUCCCUGGCUGCACUCAUUAACUCUUCGUCUUCCUAGAGUUCAUAUCAUCAGUCUGUGGCCGAAUGCCAGUCGUUUUGUUGGAUCUUAUGAUCAGCCCCUUGUAAAACGAUUCUGGAUUCCGACCUAGUUCAAGAGUUCAUUAGCCAGAAGGUAAAAUGGAGCCUCAGCACAGAAUCGCUCCUGCGCAGAGACUGUACGCGGUUCUGCUCAGUCACAGGUGCCAGGGAUUAGGGCCCGGCUACCUGGGGGACCGUUCCUCAGCCCAUCACGAGGUCGGUCCUCCUGCCGCCGAGCCUCCGGCUAAGAGAGCAGGCGCCUGGCCUGCCCCUGGACUGGCUCCCUGAGACACCACCGGGAGUCAGUGGCACCCGCUGAAGAACACAUGAGUCCCUGAUCCCAAGACACCAAGACAGGAAAUUUGGGGGGCUAGAGCUUGGGAUACUUUGUUACAUAGUGAUAGAUUACCAUCUGACUGUGUCGCUGUGCAUGCCGAAAGGGGCAUCCUAGGGUCUCACAGGGUAGAAACAAGACGGGAAGUCCUGGAGAAGGGAAGGUGUCACAGGGUAAGGGAAGCUGGGAGAGACUAGCCGGACUCCCACGGUGGCCAGACCGUCUGUAAACGCGGUGCUCCUGCAGCCCCUGCCCAGAACCUGACCAGCCCAGGGAGCCGCCUGCUGUAAGUCGGAUGUAGGAAAUCUGCAGGCUCUCUGCCAACAGUCCAGAAAGCUGAACAAUAAUCUUCAUAACCAUUAGCCCCCAAUGACCAGGGUUUGCUUAAUAACUGAGCCAUGUGGUCCCUGGGGCCCCACCAUCCCCGGGGCCUUCAAUUUUUUGGUCCCUGUUCCUGCUUUCAGACCAACCAGAGAAAGCCGAGAGUACACCUCGACACAGUCACAUGGGAUGUCUGCUUCUAGUUAGCCGGGCCCAGCCUCCCCGAGCCACAGCCCCCUCCAGGCUCGCGGGGAGCCUCUGUGUUUCCCCCCAUGAAGCCUGGCUGCUCCCCUCCCUGCCUGGGAGGCUCUGCCAGGACCUCGGUGAUGGCGGCUGACCUCCCUGCAGUAGUCUGACUGAAUAGCUUUGCUUCCCAUUUGGCUGGUCUUCCUUCUGCACUCGUGAGGAGCAAAACCCCAGCCCCACGGGAGCCGCAGGGGAGGAAACCGUUGUGUGCAUAUGUGUGCCUGCGUGUGCAAGAGUCAGCGACCCAGGUGGAAGAAACAAGAGCAGGGAACACAUCUUUUUCUCCCAUGUCUGGUUCCAGGAAUGCUCCCGGUGGGUGUGGGGACCAGUGUGGUGACACCCCAAACCGGCUCCCCUUCCUCUGUCUGCCUCGCUGGACUACGUUUCCCAGUCUGCCUUGCAGUUGGGUGCAGGCCAGCCCAAGACCUGCUCUUGAACGCGGGAGGGAGCGAUCUCCUGGGCUCCCGGGAACCUCCCUGCCGAUCCCCUACCCCCUCUCUCCUCACCUGUCGGUGGGUGCAGAGGGUCUGGCGGGGGCUUGAGGGCC
rnacentral:lncRNA from 1 species